rnacentral:lncRNA from 1 species
AAUGUACCGACGCACGUUCCGCGUCGUGUCUCCUAACCACGACAUUCAAAAGUCAUUUCCAUUUCGAAUGUGUGUUCUUUGGGUAACAUGAAUAUCAUUUUUUCAAUAUUUUUUUACAACUAUUUCAUUGACUCGUAGUUCAAAUUUGAACGCAACCGAAAAAAUGAAAAUAAAUAAUGUUAAUUGUAAAAAUAUAGCAAACAUGUUUCAAAUUUUAUGAAAUUUGAGUAUGGAGUUACAAAUGGUGAAUGUGUAGAGAAGAAAAAAAUUUGAGGACAAAAACUAAAAAAAAAGAUAAAUUAUUUGCCGUGUGUCGCACCCCU